CGCGCUCGAGCGGCGGCCACUGAACGGGAGAUGCGCGCCCCCGUGAGAGCACAACGGCUCCGCCCCGACGGCAGGUCCUUCGUCUCCCUCAUCGCUGCUUCUGAGCUUCAUCCCCUCCCAGACUCGGAGCAGUCUCCAAGGAUCUGCAGGUGCCUUCUGUGCUCUUCUUCUCACCCUGAAGAAUUCCCCUAUAAAAGAAGCAACAAAACUUGCAGUCUUUCUGCUCCCUGGUCAUGCAGCAUUCAACGUGGGGUGCUUGGGAUAAGAAGAAAGAUCUUCGAGUAGCUCCUGUGAUGAUGAGAGCAAACAGAAGGGCUGGACUGUUGUGGAUGAGAGCGAGAGGAGGCAGCACAUAUGUAAAACUCUGCACAGGAAAGCUGUUUGUACAGUGCUGUUACUGAACAUGUUCAGCUAUGAAAGCAGUUUUCAGGGGCAUGUAUAAGCUGUCCAAACAGGGGAAUAUUCACAAGAUCAUCAGAAGGAGCAUCUUUGGUUCCCAUUUAUUUGUUCUCCUAAAUAUCAAUUUGCUGCUCAAACCAUGGAAUCUUUAAUCUCCUCCAGCCUAACCAACCACCUUCAGAAAUGUUUUGUCAUAUGGAAAAUUCAAUGCAUUUUCUCAAUUUUAUUCCUCACCAAAGUUAGCAAAAGCAAUUUAGGAGCCAAAAAACAAAGUCAGACUGAGCAAAAUGGCCACCUCAGCAAACACGUGUCCCCAGAGGACAGGCGUUUGUCCAGAUUAAAGCAGCUGUAAAAAGGACUUUAAAAGAGAAAAUGCCAGCAAAGCUUAUGAGCAAAUAUAGUCCUCAGUAUCAACACUGACAUUUACCUCAAAUUACCCCUAUAAUUUCCUAUUUUUUCCUAGAAAGUGUUCCGGCCCUAAAAGUUUUCUGCACAAUUUGUCUUGUUCGCUGUCUCUCUGACAGCAUUACUGUGUUCAGCACAAGAACCAGGGCUCCUGUGGGACUCAGUACGUAACAGUUGAGUUGUUAUUCUUCUCGCCUUUUUUUGUUUGUUUUUUCAAACCUUUUUCCUCCCCUUUUGGCAGAAACCCAGGAUAUCCCAGGACAAAGGAACUACCAGUUAUGGAUGUCAGAACAUCAGCAAAACAGCCCAGGGUGCAGUCACCCACCUGUAGAGAAUCUGGGAUUGGUUUUCAAGAUACAUAAAAUAGCAUUGAGACCCUUACAAGCUUCA